AGUUUCAUCAUCAAUCUUUCAAACUCUUAAUUCAAAUUUCAUUCUAAAUUGAUGAUCGAUUCUUUCGACCGAUUCUAAAUUGAUUACUCAAACCCUAGAAAUUUUAUUUGAACGGUUCCGUAAAAAAUACGCAGAGUAUCACUAUCGUUUAUUUUAGGGUUUCAUGUUUCUGCUGCCAUGGCUUGAUUCGAUUUGAAAUAGAGAUGGAAACGAAUUUAAGAUUCUUGGCUGGAUCCUUCGAUUACUCCGCAGUCAUUUCAUUUCAUUUCUUCGUAAGGAUUUCAUUUCUUGUCAUUUCGAUCCUUUAUCUCUUUGAAUUUUGAAUUUUUUCUAAGUGAUUUGAUUCAAUUUUUACCAAAAAUGUGAUUUACAAUAUGAAUUAUUAUGCGUCAAAUGAAAAAAAUGAAUUCUUUAUUCAUAUAUAAUCAGGAUUGAUUGUGUACAUGGAAGAUUUUAUGGUCUAAAUGCAAUUUGAAUAUGAAUGUUUUAUUCAUAAAUUGAAAUACAAGUCUGAGACGACCCUUGAUAAUGAAAGAUGGUUGUGUGCCUUGGUGCCUUCGAUGCAGAAUUGUAUAUGUCCCUCUAUGUCCCUAAAUUGAGCUUAUGUCCCUUGAUGCUAAAAUUGAUGGGUUUGGAUGGAAUUUUAAUGCGAGUGCUUAUUCAUAACUUCAAAUGGAAGUGGGGAAGACCCUAAAUUGAACAUAUGUCCCUCGAUAUCCCGAAAUUGAAUCUGUCCCUCGAUGACCCUAAAUUGAAUAUAUGUCCCUCAAAGUCCCUAAAUUGUGUAUAUGUCCCUUGAUCGAUGUCCCUAAAUUGGGUUUAUGUCCCUCGAUGACCCUAAAUUGAAUAUAUUUCCCUCGAAGUCCCUAAAUUGAUGAUGGAUGGUUUGUAUGUAUUGAUUAUUCAAAAGUGUGCUAAAUUGGUGAAUCUUGAUUAUUUAGUUGCGUUGAUUGGACCCUAAGAACUUGUUUAGUUGCUAAAAGAAUUCUAAUACACAUCUUUGGAUGCUGUGUUUGUGUUUUGAUGACUGAUGAGAUGACAUUAAUUUACCAAAAAUAUGGAUUACAAUAAGUUCUGUUGUUGUGAAGGUAGUACUACACUUUGAAAUAGAGAGAUCUUUAGUUCUGAUGUACUUACAACAGUUGUAUGCACUACUGGCAUUGUAAAGGACUAUAUUUGAACUGUUAGGACUAUUAAUGUUCAUAAUUCUGCUAUGUUUUGUUGCCUUUUUGUUGUCUAUUAUGGAGUUUAUGGGAACAACAUAUGGGAACAAGUGCUAGACUCCAGCUUUACAGUUGAAAACUGUGUUCAUCAGUUACUUGAAUGUUGGAAUUUAGCGCAGAAAUUGUGUUCUGUUCAGGUCUGAUGCAGGCAGAACCUGCGACUGUCUGGAGCCUGGUGCGGCACAGACAUAUUCAGUUGCUGUUAAUUGGAAAAGUCCGACUGCGGGGCGAUUCAAAUGUAAUAUUGAUGCAUCAUUUGCGUAGUAUUUAAAUAGAGUUGGGAUUGGAAUAUGCAUCCGUGAUGAACUUGGUCAAUCUGUGCUUUCAAAGACAUAAUGGAUUGCCCUUCUCUGUGGAGUGGAUGAUGGUGAACUUCUUGUUGAGUAUAUGUCCCUCAAUGUCCCUAAAUUGAGUUUAUAUCUCUCGAUGUCCCUAAAAUUAAUGGUCUAAAUACAAUUUCAAUGUGAUUGCUUAUUCAUAACUUCAAAUGUAAGUGGAGAAGACCCUUGGUGGCUUAGAUGCUAAAUUGAAUAUAUGUCCCUCAAUGUCUAUAUUUUCAUAGAAGGGUCUCAACGGAUUCCAGGAUAUUAUAAGGCACUUGAAGCUAUUGGAAAUCCUUCACCUUUUUAUAUUUCGGUUUUGGUUUCGGGCGUGUUUUUUCAUCUUUAUAACCAAUCAUCUUAUCAAGCAUUGGAUGAAAUUAGUCCAUUAACUUUCUCUGUUGGAACAAGAUGAAUAGAGUGGUGGUGAUUGUGUCUUCAGUUUUGGUGUUCAGUAAUCAGGUUCGACCUCUUAACAGUUUUGGUUUUGCCAUUGCUGUUUUUGGGACUUUUCCGUAUUCACAAGUUACAGCUGCAAAGAAAAUUGAAAUUAAAAAGAGAGGAAAUUUAGAAGAUGAUUAAUUACUAUUUGAUUUGAUUAUUUUAGUAGUAGUUUUAGCCAUGGUAGAUUUGAUUAUUUUCGUAGUGUGGAGAUUAUUUUCAAUCGGAGGAUAGAUCACGAGAAUUUGGUAAUAUCUCGCUUACAUGUAAAUGGGUGAAAAUUUCUGAAACCUCACUUGUGCUGCGUCAUUUGGAAGUGAACCAAAAGAGGUAGAAGAUACACCAUUAUCUGUUUUGCAUAAUCAGUAUCCCAAGUGGCCUGACCAUGGAGUUCCAAAUGAUACUUUAGCUGUGCGUGAAAUUUUGAAAAGAUUGUACCAUUUACCUCCAAACCUUGGCCCAAUAGUGGUGCACUGCAGGUUCUUCUCAUUCUUUCUUUGUUCAUUCAUUUUAUGGCAAUGGUGACAAUAAGUAACAUGCAUAUUUGGCCGAGACAAAUUCUCUCACUCAGUGCAGGUAUCGGUAGAACUGGAACAUACUGCACAAUUCACAACACAAUUCAGAGAAUACUUGCUGGUGGUAUGUCUGCUGUAGAUAUUGCUAACACCGUAUCUGUGUUCAGGUCCCAGAGUGAUUCAUGAAUGUAUCGAUCUUGCAUGAAAUGCCAGUAAUUUAGUUGGACCACAUAUGAAUUAAAUUUCAUUUUUAAACUGAAUUUGAAGGAAAGAGGUUUUGAAAUCUAUGAACAGGAAUUAUAAGGUACCCUACGCUGUUUGAUGGUAAAGGUAGAUUGUUGCAAGGAACUAGGUUAGAUAGUUUAGCAAGGGGGGCUCUUACUGCUAAUUUAUGUUUCCAAAGUAAAUAAAUAGCCAAUAAGCUUUUAGUUGCUUAAAGGAACUGGGCUAGAUAUUUAGCGAAGGAUGUCUGCAAAGUUUACUAUCCUGAUUUGGAUUUUGGAGGAACGACGAUCUUUGUUGAAUAUAUUAAUUGCUUUUUUUUUUGUUUACGAAAGAAGAAUUGUUAUUUCUAGGAAAGAAUACUCCCACUACUAGUGUUCAUGUAGAGUCGAGGAAUACUACUGUCUGAUUACAUUUACUUGCAUUUAUUGGACAAGAGAUCAUGUUAUUACCAAAUUUUAUCAUUAUAUAUAGUUUUCUGUUGUAGUAUUCCUCUCUCUGUAAUAGACAUAUAUAUACCCCUUCCUUAGUCCUUAUGGAUGAAAACCUAAAGAAAGGGUAGGAUUCUUUUAAAACCAGUGCUGUAGAUAAUGAUCUCUAGUUAGUUUUCUGUUGUACUUAGCCAGUGUGACAGCUGUCUAGGCACAUGUCAAAAUAGAGUGCCUGAUCAGCUUCAAGGCCUCAGAGUUGGUUAGAUCUGAGUGUAGGUUAAGCUAAUGCUGAGUGUAGGACAAGACUGAUAAAUUCCCAGAAUCUGUCAAAACAGAUCAGAAAUUGUAAUACACAAUUCCAAUGUAUGAAAAUAUGAAAGUUAUUCUCUCAAUUCCCUCUCCUUUAACAAGUGGAGAUGUAACUGUGAUUAAGGCAAAUCAUUAGGGGAUGCAGGACAACUCCAAGAGUACCUCUGUUGUUGAGCACAAGCAUCUACAGGAAAGUGUAUUCAUUGAAAAGUAAUAUAGGGGUGUAAGAGAUCCCUCAAUGUCCCUAAAUUGAUGGUAUGUCCCUAACUUGAAUAUAUGUCCCUCGAUGACCCUAAAUUGAAUAUAUGUCCCUCGAUGUCACUAAACUUGAUGGUUUGAAAUUUGAAUGCAAUUUCAAUGUGAAUGCUUAUUCAUAACUUCAAGUGUAAGUGGAGAAGACCCUAAACUGAAUGUAUGUCCCUCGAUGUCCCGAAAUUGAAUAUAUUCCUCGAAGUCCCUAACUUGAAUAUAUGUCGCUUGAUGACCCUAAAUUGAAUAUAUGUCCCUCGAUGUCGCUAAACUUGAUGGUUUGAAUGCAAUUUUAAUGUGAAUGCUUAUACAUAACUUCAAAUGUAAGUGGAGAAGACCCCAAAUUGAAUAUAUGUCCCUCGAUGUCCCGAAAUUGAAUAUAUUCCUCGAAGUCCCUAAAUUGAAUUUAUGUCCCUCAAUGACCCUAAAUUUAAUAUAUGUCCCUCGAAGUUCCUAUAUUGAUGGAUGGUUUGUAUGUAUUGAUUAUCCAAAAGUGUGUGCUAAAUCGGUGAAUCUUGAUUAUUUGGGUUCAUUGAUUGGACCCUAAGAACUUAUUUAUUUACCAUAGAAUUCUAAUACACGUCUUUGGAUGCUGUGUUUGUGUUUGGAUGACUGUGAUGAGAUGACAUUAUUUUACCAAAAAUGUGUAUUUCAAUAAGUUCUUUUGUUGUGAAGGUAGUACUACACUUUGAAAUAGAGAGAGCUUUAGUUCUGAUGUACUUACAGCAGCUGCAUGCACUGCUGCCAUUGUAAAGGACUAUCUUUGAACUGUUAGGAUUAUUAAUGUUCAUAAUCCUGCUCUAUUUUGUUGCCUUUUUUUUUUAACAACUUUUUGCCUUUAUGUUGUCUAUUAUGGAGUUUAUGGGAAGAUGGGAACAACGUAUGGGAACAAGUGCUAGACUAAGCUUUACUGUCGAAAAUUGUGUUCAUCAGUUACUUGAAUCUUGGAAUAUAGUGCAGAAAUUGUGUUCCGUUUCAGGUCUGAUGCAGGCAUAACCUGGGACUGCUUCGGGUCUGAUACGAGCUGGGGCUUUGCAGAAUGCUACCGCGGCUGAGCCUGGUGACAUAUUGGGCUGCUGUUAAUUCGAAAAUUCCGACUCGGGGGUUAUUCAAAUGUAAUAUUGAUGCAUCAUUUGCACCGUAUUUAAAUUGAGUUGGGAUUGGAAUAUGCAUCCGUGACGAACUUGGUCAAUUUGUGCUUUCAAAGAUAAAAUGGAUUGCGCUGCCCUUCUUUUUGGAGUGGUUGUUGGUGAACUUCUUGAUGAGUAUAUGUCCCUCAAUGUCCCUAAAUUUAAUUGAUGGUAUGUCCCUAAAUUGAGUUUAUGUCCCUCGAUAUCCCGAAAAUUGAUGGUCUAAAUACAAUCUCAAUGUGAUUGCUUAUUCGUAACUUCAAAUGUAAGUGGAGAAGACCCUUGGCAUCUCAGAUGCUAAAUUGAAUAUAUGUCCCUCCAUGUCCGUAAAUUUUAAUAUAUGUUCCCCGAUGUCCCUAAUUUCAUAGAAGGGUCUCAAUGGAUUCCAAUAUAUUAUAAGGCACUUGAAGCUAUUGGAAAUCCUUCAACUUUUUAUAUUUUGGUUUUGGUUUCGGGCGUGUUUUAUCAUCUUUGUAACCAAUCAUCUUAUCAAGCAUUGGAUGAAAUUAGUUCAUUAACUUUCUCUGUUGGAAACACGAUGAAUAGAGUGGCGGUGAAUGUGUCUUCAGUUUUUGGGUUCAGGAAUCAGGUUCUACCUCUUAUUAACAGUCUUGGUUCUGCCAUUGCUAUUUUGGGACUUUUCUGUAUUCACAAGCUACAGCUGCAAAGAAAAUUGAAGAGUUGGGAUUGGAAUAUGCAUCCAUGACAAACUUGGUCAAUUUGUGCUUUCAAAGACAUAAUAGAUUGCCCUUCUUUGGGGAAUGGAUGUUGAUGAACCUCUUGGUGAGUAUAUGUCCCUAAAUUGAUGGUCUGAUUCAAUUGCAAUAUGAAUGUUUUAUUCAUAACUUUAAAUGCAAGUAGAGAUGACCCUUGACGCAAUGACUAUACAAUGUAUUUUAAUAAUAUGAUGGCGUUGUGAUAUAUGUAACCAGGAUGAUGAAAUUAGAAUGAUGACUAUACAAUGUUUUAUUCAUGUAAAUUACAUUUUUUAUUCAUACAGGAUGGUAUACAUGGAAGAUUUGAUAGUCUAAAUGCAAUUUGAAUAUGAAUUUUUAUUCAUUACUAAGAUGACCCUUGAUAAUGAUUUUUCCACAAUGGUAAAUUGGG